CUUGGCUGAGUUUGAGAAGAAGUAUGAAGUGCUUCGUUUUGAGGAUGAUUGGGAUGCGGUGAAGGUCUCAAUUGUAUACUUUGUUGAAUUUAUACUUUACGGGCGAGAAAGAAGCGUGAAGUACGACAGUAGUCUGCUUGGAAUAGUAGAUGACUUCGGAAGCGUGAAGUACGAAAGACCGCAUACUCCAUCAGGAAUAAAGCCUGGUUCCGCAACCUAUUGAGGCCAGGUAACUGGUGCACAGCCGAGGUCGUCGAUGAGCUAUUCAUGUUAGUGCGGAAGAAGCUAGAGCAGCGGCCUGACCUAUGUUCUCGGAAGUUCACAACUGGCGAUCUAGUUCUUGCGAACUACUUCAGACGUAAGGAUGGUCUAUAUGCAUGCAUGCAAUCUGAUAGUUCAUUGCCUUCAAAAGUAGCGGUCGAGUACGAUUGUGACGGGAGUGACAAGAGCAUCAUGGGUUAUACUGACGGCACUCAUAUGGACUAUCCUUUGAGGUGGAUGGAAGUGGACGCCAUAUAUCUCCCAUUUAACAUAGGGGCAAGCACUGGGUAAUGGUAUGUAUCGACCUCGAGGAAGGCGAGAUCGUAGUAUGGGACUCCUUGAAUUCAAUGACCACGGAUCAUGCUAUAGAGGAUCAUUUGAAGGUAAUGCACACCAUCAUCCCAGUAAUGCUCUUCAAAUGUGAUGUUAUGAAAGUCCGACCCAAUCUACCGAUCCAACCAUGGCGGAUUCAACGAGUUAAGUCAGCUCCACAGCAGAUUGGCGGUGGCGACUGUGGGAUUUUCUGCGUCAAGUAUUUUGAGUACGAUGUAACCGGGUCCGCAUUGGAUACUCUAAGACAGUCUAGGAUUGCAUACUUUAGGAGGCAACUUGCUUUUCAACUUUGGGCGAAUAGACCUAUUUAUUGAUAUUCCA